UCUCCAAGCAGCUUGUGCUUGUGUGGAGUCGCCGCACUCCGCACACCGCUGCCGUGGCGGAUCCCCGGGGCCGCCGCUGCCACUGAACCCCAUGGACGAAGCCGUCCCACGAACGGCCGAUGCAGGCACCACAACAGCAGCUCGUUACCGAAAUAUCAGGGUGUGCAGGAUCAUCUCGUCCAUGCCAUGGAACAAAGCCACCUGCUUGACGAGCUCCAAACAGAGAUGCAGAAUCAAGAGGAGACCUAAACAAGCUUCUUCUCAGUUCAGAAAAAAAAACUCAUUUCUGGCAUAACUCGGCAAUCCCACUCAAAAGGAGGAGCAGUAUCACUUAACCUGUUCAUAUUACCCCCAAUAUGAAUUAUCAUCCUCGAUGGCCACUCCAGGGAAGGAUUCUGAUCAAGAAUCACUGUUGCUGGAGCUUUCUCGCAAUGCACAGCACCGAUAGGCAAAACUUCUUUAUGUCAAUACAGGAUGACCUGUUUUAAUAU